AUGUCGAGCUCUGAGAUGGAGGACUCCUCGCUGAGCAGCGACAUCAGGUUCUACGCGUACGCGGUUCUCGCGUCGUUCGGCGUGGCGGCGGUCCUCGUGGUGUGCUUCUGGCAGCUGUACAAACUCACCGUGUCCGCGCGGCCGCAGGACAUGCUGCCCGUCUCUUCCUCCCGCGGUAAUGUGGCGGCGCUGAGGCUGAGGGACAUCUCGGCGCUCCCCGUGUUCGUGUACGGCGGCAAUGGCGACGGCGCCCCUGUGGGCGUGGAGUGCGCGGUGUGCCUCGCGGAGAUGACGGAUGGCGAGAGGGGCCGGCUCUUGCCACGGUGCGGACACCGGUUCCACGUCGAGUGCAUCGACCGGUGGUUCCGGUCCAACUCCUCAUGCCCGCUCUGCCGCGUCGCCGUCUUCGGCGAGCCGAGCACGCUGGAGGCGCACAAGGGUGCCUCCUUGUCUGUGCCCGCGGUUGUGUUGCAAGGUUGA
rnacentral:rRNA from 1 species